rnacentral:tRNA from 1 species
GCCUUCGUGUGUAAUGGUCAGCACACUGAGCCGGUAUUUCAGAGGUCAGUGGUUCGAUCCCCGGCGAAGGCA